GGCUCCAUAGUGUAGUGGUCAGCACGUCUGCUUUACACGCAGAAGGUCCUGGGUUUGCACCCCAGGUGGAGCCA
rfam:Pteropus alecto contig102404, whole genome shotgun sequence.